rnacentral:rRNA from 1 species
CGCAUGGGUGCGUAACGCGUAUGCAAUCUACCUCUAACUGGGAAAUAGCCCCGAGAAAUCGGGAUUAAUAUCCCAUAACAUCCAUUUAACGCAUGUUUUAUGGAUUAAAGUUCCGACGGUUAGAGAUGAGCAUGCGUAACAUUAGUUUGUUGGUGAGGUAACGGCUCACCAAGACUUCGAUGUUUAGGGGUUCUGAGAGGAUUAUCCCCCACACUGGUACUGAGACACGGACCAG